CUCCAAAAACCAAAUGUUACCCACACCUAACAACCUGCUAAUCACUCUCCGCAGAUUCCUACGCCAUAUAAUCCCAACUAACCCACGACCUCCAUUUUUCUUGGACGAGCUGGACUACCCACCAAACCACAACUCGCCUCUGAGAUCAGAUUCUUCAUCUCCAAUCUGAAAUUCGCAACUGCCCCAGCCCUCUCUCUAGCUAGGGGCUCUCCUCCAUCAAGACUCCUGAAGAUCCAGAUUCUCCUGACUGCUGUAUCCUUCUUGCGUGCCCUUGACAAGUAGGGCAGAAGAUUCAACAUCUGAACCCCAAAAGGAGUCCAUGGAAGAAGUAAUGUGCUACUCUUUGGACUCUGGGAGAUCCUCUGCCUAGCAGCAUGUGCGUUGAAAAAAAGAUGGUGGUCAGGCAAGAGGCAUUUUGUCUAACUGAAAGCGCUUUGAUUCGACCAAUAUUGUUACUAAAUAUGGUAGGAUGAUUCACUACUGUUUUUGGUUAUGUUAGAUUUUUUAAAUAUGGUUUUAAGUAUAUAUGUCUAUAUUUCCUUUUGGAUGAAAAAUAUUUCAUUAUAUUCUCAUAUGUGAGUUUUGAUAUGAACCAAAUGUAGCUAUGGAUCACAUACGUAUCCUAGGUCUCCUAAUUAUGGGCAAUAAGUUUACUAUCCUGAUUACAGCAGGAUUUGCAUUGAGAUUGCAUUCAAAAGAAAAAACAAUAGAAGAUUAUCGUGUUGAACGCACAGGCACCCUGAAAUAAUUUUAGGCAGGCAAGGUAUCUGGGUAAUCUUUGGCCAUGCUACAAAAGCAAACAGGCAAGUCUGAUAUGUAUGGUCUAUCAUGAAAUGAGUGCCACUAUCUUAAUUGAGAGUUUAGUAAUACUUAUUGCAUCAAAGCUCAGUUAUAGCUUAUAGGCAUCCAAACUGUAGCUUUUCUCUUGCAGCUGCUAUUUUAAAAUCUCCUUUUACAUUUAGCUGCAGCUAAUUAUUUUUUUUCCUUUCCUGGCAAGCGGCUAGAGUUCAAGCUCCAGGAAAAGGUCACAUUUAGGCAAGUUCUACAGUCUUUCAGGUAAUUGAUCAUUUGAUUUCCUUGCACAAGAGACUGCACAGAUUUAUUGUGUGUAUGUGGUGCCACUACCACUGCACAGAAAACUGUUGCAUGGUAUUAUAUUUACCAGUGCUGUAACUUUUGUCCAUCUAUAUUUUAAGAGUUAUUUCCAUCAAGUACAAUGUAGUUUUCACCAUUUAACUGAUUUAUGAACUAUGGGAAUCAAAGGUCCAGAGAAUAUAAUAUUUGUUUGCUUGAGGCUUUCAUGUAUGCUUCUCCAACUGACAACAUGUGAUGUGGGAUAUGAUAUUGUGCCUUACUUCAAUGUACAAUACAAGUAAAUACUUUAUCCAUUCAAAUGCAGCUUGAAUAAUCAAUAGUUUUUUUCAGCACGUAUAUAUAUUUAUAUAUUUUCAUUGCAUUUUUGUAUAAUUGAACUGUCUGCAAAGCAAUUGUUUUUUGUUAAGUAUGAGUUAUCCUUUUUAAUAUGAAAGGUUGUGUGUAAUGGUCAAUGGUUUGCAAAUUGCAAUGCCGCAAAAUGAGAGCUGAGCCACAUAGUCCAUGUGCCAUGAUUUUCUUAUCCACUCUGUAAGCACGUGCUCCUUUAAAAAAUAUUAUAUGGUUCAGCUUGAUUAACAUUUAAUUUGUUAUUUCCCUGAAAGUUAAUUCAUUAUAAUAUGAUGUUCUUGCAGAGUUUCUGUUUCCAACCUGCUAAAUGCUGAACAUAAAGACGAAUAAUCUAAUUUUAUUAGGUAGAAGCAAUGAGACAACUGCAGUGGUUGAGAUUCGAACUCAUGUGGACAAGGAAAUGUUCACUCCAGCUAGCCUAUUCUGUUCUAAUCCAGUGUAUAUUUCUGUUUGAGCUUUUUUUAGCCUCACUGUAGUUUGUGCAAGAAAGUUUUAAAUGCCAUAUUCUAUCUUUGAAUCCAGGGAAAAAAAAUCUUAUUAUUAACCUUCAUUCAAUUGCAGAUGGCUGAUAGGAGUUGUACUACCACAGGUAGGAGUUGUGAGAAUGCUCAUGUGCAUACUAGGGAGUUAUUGUUGCAAAAUUAAUUGAUGGUUCAAAAUUGACUUCUUAUCAAGCAUAUAUGCAUUAAAAAGCAUAUUAUCUUUCUCUUCCAUGGUGUGUGGUUCCAAAGUUUAAUAGGUUACCAAUAUGUGUUCUUUGCCAGUGCAGGAUAUCAGGAUCAAAGUAGGUAUUUAUUCUGAUCUGUAUGGUGGUGGAGGGUAAUUCUUCUAGGUCAACUGGUACCUUUCUCAUUUUCAGAAAACAACAGUAAUCACGAUGAUCAUUUUUAGUGGUAAGAGUAUCAUCAUUUUUACUCUUUUUUUUGCGAACCAGGCUCAAAAGAACAUAUUUCAGAUGAGUAGGAAGCUUUGUUUUCUGAUGGUCUGAAAGGUUAGCAGUUAGCCAUUCUCUGCUUUCCCUUUACUAGACAAAAAUAAUAUGAAACUCUUUACUAUAAGAUCUGUUCAAAAUCAAUUAUAAUAACCCAGUUUCUAAUCUGAGGAUGGAAACCAUUAAUAAAUUAUCUUCUCCAUAGGAUCAGCAGCAAUCUUAAUGAACAUCAAGACAAUUGACAAUAUGCCCAUGGUAAAGAGUGCCGACUGAUUGGCCUUCGUUUAGUGUACAUUUGUAGUAGCUUUCUAUAAUAAUAAUAAUGAACAACAUAUAUAGUGAAUAUAGUCGGCCAACCUUUCGGCCGAUCCAGUAAAAUAUAUGGUGAAUUUCAUAAUUACAACUGUGAAUACUAAGAACAAAUUUUCUAUGCAGGUUCAAAAAGAUCAAUGGUUGAAUUUCCACGGUUUAAGUGACUGCUCAAGAAGUUAUCAAGAAUUGGAAGAAUGAAUAAAGACUAGAUAGGAAUAGAUAUAUUUCAUAUUUCUGCUAGUAUUUUUUUUUGCUUAAGAUGUAUUUCCUCCAUUUAAAAGACAUGCUUACUAUGAAAUGAUGUAAAAACAGUACUUCCUACAAAUUUUGUUAUGGUAAUGCAAUAUAUUACGAUCAGUUCACUAUA